GAUGAGGGAUAUGAAAAUGGGACCGAAAAAUACACUUUUUACUUGCCGGUAGUUAGUUUUGGUCAGUUUUACUUUAGGUUCCUAAUUGUACAUGAGCACUUGUAAGCGUCUGAUUGAAGAUGAAUGAAAUACCAAAAAGUGAAACUACGGUUAGCGCUAAAGAUCAUACCAAUACCGAAUCGACACAAGCAAAGAUCAUACAGAUGGAAAUACAAUUAAAAUUGUUGUCUGCCACCAUAAAUCUAAACAUGUACGAAAAAUGUUUCUUUUCAUUCCUUGGAUGUGCAAGAAAAUCUUUUAUGUACCAGAUUGUACAGUUCCUAGUAGUGAGAAAUGGCUAGAUGUUAUACAAUAUCAUACUUCAUGAUGUCACCAACAAUGUCAUGUUCUGAGUAUUGGGAAAUAGUUGGAGACUCAGCAGUGCAGAAACUAGUUUACUCAGGUAUGUUAAAUGGCUGCUAGGUUGCUGUUUGAAAAAAUAGUAUGCAGAUGUGCAAGUGACAUUGUGCAACUUUGGGCGUUGGAGAUAAUUGUUACAAUUUUUGAAGAUUUAAUACUUUAACUAUUCUCAUGUUUCUAUAGCAACCAUGGCUCUCAUCCUUAAAGCAUUGCAAUUGGCUUUUUAAAAAGACCUGAUUGUUUGAUAAUACCUUAAUGCAUCAUUAACUUUUUCUUUAUUUAUGUUCCAUAAAGAUUCUAUUAUCAAAAUUAAUAUUACUAGCUUUAAUAAUUAUUGACAUUUCAUUUGACUUUUGACAUGUCUUUUGAGUGCUUCCUUAGUCAUUAAUGUGUAAUCAUUCAGGGCCCUUAUCGCAUUCUGUAAUGGCUCAUUCGUCUACAGUAUGGCCAAAGGUUUAUACUAUUCAUCCAUGUAUUUGUGAAAGAAAUGUUUGCAUUUUAAAGAGUGUCAGUCAAAAAAUAAAUGAGCAUAAUAACCUUGAAGUGAUCAGUUACAAAAGUUGUUAUCUUCCAAGCAUGGAAUAUAGCCACAUGCAAGUCAUGUUCUGCUCUAUAUUUACAUAAUGUUUGUUCCAACUCACGGAUGAUAUUGUCAGAUAAGAGCACAUUGGCAAGUUGCAGACGUUGACUUUCUGAAUUACAGAAAAUAGUUUCAGUCAGGAUACCAGAAAGCAUCAGGACUUCCAGGGCAUGGCUAUAGCUCCUCCUGAAAGAACAUUAGAAACACUUGAUUAUUUGUGUGAAAUACUUUGAAAUAAAAAAAGACUCUUUCUGCAUGAUUUAAUUCCUAAAGAAAAUCAAUAAACCUGAACAAUGAUUUAUAUAUAUAUGCAUAUAU